UACGUAGGGUGCGAGCGUUGUCCGGAAUCAUUGGGCGUAAAGCGCGUGUAGGCGGUCCGGUAAGUCCGCUGUGAAAGUCGGGGGCUCAACCCUCGGAUGCCGGUGGAUACUGUCGGGCUUGAGUACGGAAGAGGCGAGUGGAAUUCCUGGUGUAGCGGUGAAAUGCGCAGAUAUCAGGAGGAACACCUGCGGCGAAGGCGGGUUGCUGGGCUGAUACUGACGCUGAGGCGCGAAAGCUAGGGGAGCGAACGGG
rnacentral:rRNA from 1 species